rnacentral:rRNA from 1 species
GGGUUGUGAGGUUAAGCGACUAAGCGUACACGGUGGAUGCCCUGGCAGUCAGAGGCGAUGAAGGACGUGCUAAUCUGCGAUAAGCGCCGGUAAGGUGAUAUGAACCGUUAUAACCGGCGAUUUCCGAAUGGGGAAACCCAGUGUGACUCGUCACACUAUCAUUAACUGAAUCCAUAGGUUAAUGAGGCGAACCGGGGGAACUGAAACAUCUAAGUACCCCGAGGAAAAGAAAUCAACCGAGAUUCCCCCAGUAGCGGCGAGCGAACGGGGAGGAGCCCAGAGCCUGAAUCAGCAUGUGUGUUAGUGGAAGCGUCUGGAAAGGCGCGCGAUACAGGGUGACAGCCCCGUACACAAAAGCGCAUGUGCUGUGAGCUCGAUGAGUAGGGCGGGACACGUGGUAUCCUGUCUGAAUAUGGGGGGACCAUCCUCCAAGGCUAAAUACUCCUGACUGACCGAUAGUGAACCAGUACCGUGAGGGAAAGGCGAAAAGAACCCCGGCGAGGGGAGUGAAAAAGAACCUGAAACCGUGUACGUACAAGCAGUGGGAGCCUCUUUUAUGGGGUGACUGCGUACCUUUUGUAUAAUGGGUCAGCGACUUAUAUUCUG